rnacentral:lncRNA from 1 species
GUGAGGGGCAGGAAGGAGUCCAGGUUUCUGGUUUGGAAACUAGGUGGAUGGUGAUAUCUCAGCUAAGCCAAGGGUCAUAGCUGGAGGAAAAGGAGGAUCCAACCAGGAUCACACAUGCACUCAGUUGCACAUCUCCUUGGUUCCCUCCAUCUGGGAUAGUCUUCCAGCCUUUCUUUGUCUUUCUUGGCUUGAAGAAUAGAGAGUAUAGCUGGAGAGCACCCGGUGAUGCAGAUUCUACUACUUUCUUAUUGGGAGGCACGGAGAAGUGCGUUAACUUGCUCAAGUUUACACAGUUGGCCAGUGGCAGAACCAGGACUGCAGUGCCUGAAGCGUGGCUCCUGUACGCACACUCUGGAUCCUGUACUGAAGUGUGUCAGUGCACAUGGGUCAGAAAGUGCAGGCGAAGGUUUCAGGAAACCGAGAGCCCAGGAAAUGAGGCAAGUCAUCUGUACGGAUGCAGAAGUCACCUGAGGUGGGGCAAGAGUUGGGGUAAAGAGGAAGGCUGUGAGUCAGGUGCCAGGUGAGGAGGUCCUGGUUUUUCUAUUCCUUGGCUCACUGUCCUCUAACCUUUGAGGAGGAGCCAGUCAACCCUUGUCUGGAGAUGAAGCUCCACCCAUGCCGUAGGGCCAAAUCUUGCCUACAGAGAGGAUCUGUAAGACUGGACUUCCAUAUUCUUAGCCUCAGCAUUGAGGCCUCUCACUCCAGGUGUGACUCUCACCUGGACCCUUUACCUGUCUGAGUCAGAGCCCAUGCUCUGCAGGGAUGGGCUCGGGAUUCCAUGAGCAGUGUUCUUUGGACCAUUCUCUUCAUCUGGC